rnacentral:sRNA from 1 species
CUUUGGCGUUAGCGAUUGAGGUGGCAUCCUUUUUUUAAAAAAAAGAUAUAGCCGAAAGCGUGACCUUUA